rnacentral:rRNA from 1 species
GACGAACGCUGGCGGCGUGCUUAACACAUGCAAGUCGAACGGAAAGGCCCCUUUGGGGGUACUCGAGUGGCGAACGGGUGAGUAACACGUGAGUAACCUGCCCUUGACUUCGGGAUAACUUCAGGAAACUGGGGCUAAUACCGGAUAGGAAUCCUUGCUGCAUGGUGGGGGUUGGAAAGCUUCGGCGGUUUUGGAUGGACUCGCGGCUUAUCAGCUUGUUGGUGGGGUAGUGGCUUACCAAGGCUUUGACGGGUAGCCGGCCUGAGAGGGCGACCGGCCACAUGGGGCUUGGGAGACGGCCCAGACCCCUACGGGGGGCAGAGGUGGGGAAAUUUGCACAAGGGGGGGAGGCCUGAGGCAGCAACCCCGGGGGCGGGAGGACGGCCUUCGGGUUUUACCCCGCUUUCAGCGGGGGGGAAGCUUUUGUGGCGGUACCUGCAGAAGAAGCACCGGCUAACUACGU